GCCGCCGUGGCACAAUCUGGUACUGCGCACGCUUGGAAAGCGUGUUCCCUAACGGGUUUCCCGGUUCAAAUCCGGGCGGCGGCG
rnacentral:tRNA from 1 species